rnacentral:rRNA from 1 species
AAGUAGGGUGCAAGCGUUAAUCGGAAUUACUGGGCGUAAAGCGUGCGCAGGCGGUUAUUUAAGACAGAUGUGAAAUCCCCGGGCUAAACCUUGGAACUGCAUUUGUGACUGUAUAGCUAGAGUACGGGAGAGGGGGGUGGAAUUCCGAGUGUAGCGGUGAAAUGCGUAGAUAUGAGGAGGAACACCAAUGGCGAAGGCGACCUUCUGGACUUUAACUGACACUCAGGCACGAAAGCGUGGGGAGCAAACAG